GACGAACGCUGGCGGCGUGCCUAAUACAUGGAAGUCGAGCGAAGCGGGGACGGGUGAGUAACACGUAAGGAACCUCCGCUAAGCGGGGGACAACAUUCGGAAACGGGUGCUAAAUCGCAUACUUAUCGAUGGCCUGCGUGCAUUAGCUUGUUGGUGGGGUAAAGGCCUACCAGGCAAUGAUGCAUAGCCGGCCGAGAGGGGAAUCGGCCACAUUGGGACUGAGACACGGCCCAAACUCCUACGGGAGGCAGCAGUGGGGAAUCUUCCGCAAUGGGCGCAAGCCUGACGCAGCAAUGCCGCGUGAGUGAAGAAGGUUUUCGGAUCGUAAAGCUCUGUUGUAAGAGAAGCGGUAUCUUACCAGAAAGCCACGGCUAACUACGUGCCAGCAGCCGCGGUAAUAC
rnacentral:rRNA from 1 species